GAUGAAGAACGUAGCGAAAUGCGAUACGUAAUGUGAAUUGCAGAAUUCAGUGAAUCAUCGAGUCUUUGAACGCACAUUGCGCCCCCUGGUAUUCCGGGAGGCAUGCCUGUCCGAGCGUCAUUGCUGCCCUCAAGCACGGCUUGUGUGUUGGGCCUCCGUCCUCCUCCCGGGGGACGGGCCCGAAAGGCAGCGGCGGCACCGCGUCCGGUCCUCGAGCGUAUGGGGCUUCGUCACCCGCUCUUGUAGGCCCGGCCGGCGCUUGCCGACACAUCAAUCUUUUUUCCAGGUUGACCUCGGAUCAGGUAGGGAUACCCGCUGAACUUAAGCAUAUCAAUAAGCGGAGGA
rnacentral:misc_RNA from 1 species